rnacentral:rRNA from 1 species
AGUGAACGCUGGCGGUAGGCCUAACACAUGCAAGUCGAACGGCAGCACAGUAAGAGCUUGCUCUUACGGGUGGCGAGUGGCGGACGGGUGAGGAAUACAUCGGAAUCUACUUUUUCGUGGGGGAUAACGUAGGGAAACUUACGCUAAUACCGCAUACGACCUACGGGUGAAAGCAGGGGAUCUUCGGACCUUGCGCGAUUGAAUGAGCCGAUGUCGGAUUAGCUAGUUGGCGGGGUAAAGGCCCACCAAGGCGACGAUCCGUAGCUGGUCUGAGAGGAUGAUCAGCCACACUGGAACUGAGACACGGUCCAGACUCCUACGGGAGGCAGCAGUGGGGAAUAUUGGACAAUGGGCGCAAGCCUGAUCCAGCCAUACCGCGUGGGUGAAGAAGGCCUUCGGGUUGUAAAGCCCUUUUGUUGGGAAAGAAAAGCAGCAGGUUAAGACCCCGCUGUUCUGACGGUACCCAAAGAAUAAGCACCGGCUAACCUCGU